GUACUUACUCCUACGGGAGGCAGCAGUGGGGAAUUUUGGACAAUGGGGGCAACCCUGAUCCAGCAAUGCCGCGUGCAGGAUGAAGGCCUUCGGGUUGUAAACUGCUUUUGUACGGAACGAAAAGCCCUGGGUUAAUACCCUGGGGUCAUGACGGUACCGUAAGAAUAAGCACCGGCUAACUACGUGCCAGCAGCCGCGGUAAUACGUAGGGUGCGAGCGUUAAUCGGAAUUACUGGGCGUAAAGCGUGCGCAGGCGGUUUUGUAAGACAGAGGUGAAAUCCCCGGGCUCAACCUGGGAACUGCCUUUGUGACUGCAAGGCUAGAGUACGGCAGAGGGGGAUGGAAUUCCGCGUGUAGCAGUGAAAUGCGUAGAUAUGCGGAGGAACACCGAUGGCGAAGGCAAUCCCCUGGGCCUGUACUGACGCUCAUGCACGAAAGCGUGGGGAGCAAACAGGAUUAGAAACCCGAGUAGUCCAGGCAU
rnacentral:rRNA from 1 species